GUGUCGUCCCAGCACAGCCAGCCAUCCCAAGUUCGGUUGCAGAACAGACAAUAAGAAGGAUAAUCAGUAAGAAGCAACUGUGGGUUGUUUUUUUCAUCGUGGAGUCUUCCUGCAGAGGUACGCUGUAGCAGAUCCUUUGCGGCCGCGCUCCCGGCGCUCUCUGCUCGCUCCGCGGCUGCCGGCUCCCGGACGGCCCUCGCUGCUCGGACACCCCGGCACUCCGCGUCCCGCUGUGGCUCAGCCCAGAGCCGAGCCCCUCCGGCGGAGCCGUACCUCUGAGAGCAUCCGCCUCCUCUCGCCCGCGACGCGCUCUCC
rnacentral:lncRNA from 1 species